GACGAACGCUGGCGGCGUGCCUAAUACAUGCAAGUCGAACGCAGUGGGGACGGGUGAGUAACACGUGGGUAACCUCCCAUCAGAGGGGAUAACACUUGGAAACAGGUGCUAAACCGAUACUGAUGGAUGGACCCGCGGUGCAUUAGCCAGUUGGUGAGGUAACGGCCCAGCUAGGCCACGAUGCAUAGCGGGCCUGAGAGGAUGAUCGGCCACACGGGGACGGAGACACGGCCCAGACUCCUACGGGAGGCAGCAGUGGGGAAUCUUCGGCAAUGGGCGCAAGUCUGACCGAGCCACGCCGCGUGGGUGAAGAAGGUUUGCGGGUCGUAAAGCUCUGUUGUUAGAGAAGCGGUAUCUAACCAGAAAGCCACGGCUAACUACGUGCCAGCAGCCGCGGUAAUUC
rnacentral:rRNA from 1 species